CCGCUUUUCAUUUACUGCAUCUGAGAACAAAGUCCAAAGUUAGAAAAGGUGAUUUACAACACAGUUUGUUAUUGUUUGUUUUAACAUUCUGUAUACUAACUGAUUAGGUAAGGUGUAUGAUGGAAGAGUGCUCCUCAAGAUUACCACAUAAAGAUAAAUUUGGUCAAUUAUUACAUAGGCAGAUAAGUAUAAAAGGAACAUGAAAAGAUUUUAAAAAAUGAAACAUAUGUAUUCAAUCAGUCUAUAAAAUAUAUUUUAGAGUAAAAGCACGGACGUCGGUGAUUGAAUCCAUUAUGCCCGCGUCACACUGUCCCGAUUUUUAUAUACGAUGGACACCCGAAUGCGAAAAUUGUAAGUUCGUACGAAGUUGGUCCCGAUCUCGUUCAAAUACCAAAAAGUGACCGAAGCAAGUACGAUGAAUAACGAAGUCUAUACGAGGGUGCCGAAAGUAUAUACGAUAGCAAAAGAUGGACAUACGAAGGUUAACCGAAGACGGUAUUUAAGCUUC
rnacentral:lncRNA from 1 species